GAUGAACGCUGGCGGCGUGCUUAACACAUGCAAGUCGAACGGAAAGGCCCAAGCUUGCUUGGGUACUCGAGUGGCGAACGGGUGAGUAACACGUGGGUGAUCUGCCCCGCACUUCGGGAUAAGCCUGGGAAACUGGGUCUAAUACCGGAUAGGACAGUGGUUUGGAUGCCAUUGUGGAAAGUUUUUUCGGUAUGGGAUGAGCUCGCGGCCUAUCAGCUUGUUGGUGGGGUAAUGGCCUACCAAGGCGUCGACGGGUAGCCGGCCUGAGAGGGUGUACGGCCACAUUGGGACUGAGAUACGGCCCAGACUCCUACGGGAGGCAGCAGUGGGGAAUAUUGCACAAUGGGCGCAAGCCUGAUGCAGCGACGCCGCGUGGGGGAUGACGGCCUUCGGGUUGUAAACUCCUUUCGCUAGGGACGAAGCGUUAUGUGACGGUACCUAGAGAAGAAGCACCGGCUAACUACGUG
rnacentral:rRNA from 1 species